rnacentral:rRNA from 1 species
UGGGGAAUAUUGCGCAAUGGGGGGAACCCUGACGCAGCCAUGCCGCGUGAAUGAAGAAGGCCUUAGGGUUGUAAAGUUCUUUCGGUAUUGAGGAAGGUUGAUGUGUUAAUAGCACAUCAAAUUGACGUUAAAUACAGAAGAAGCACCGGCUAACUCCGUGCCAGCAGCCGCGGCAAUACGGAGGGUGCGAGCGUUAAUCGGAAUAACUGGGCGUAAAGGGCACGCAGGCAGUUAUUUAAGUGAGGUGUGAAAGCCCCGGGCUUAACCUGGGAAUUGCAUUUCAGACUGGGUAACUAGAGUACUUUAGGGAGGGGUAGAAUUCCACGUGUAGCGGUGAAAUGCGUAGAGAUGUGGAGGAAUACCGAAGGCGAAGGCAGCCCCUUGGGAAUGUACUGACGCUCAUGUGCGAAAGCGUGGGGAGCAAACAGGAUUAGAUACCCUGGUAGUCCACGCUGUAAACGCUGUCGAUUUGGGGGUUGGGGUUUAACUCUGGCGCCCGUAGCUAACGUGAUAAAUCGACCGCCUGGGGAGUACGGCCGCAAGGUUA